ensembl:lncRNA
AAUAAUUACCUCCCAAGGAAUAAAGAGUCAGCGAGAGGGAACUCAACCAGAUCAGGUUAGGUAGCUUUUGUUUUUCAUCAAACCUUGAAUGAUAAUUGCAAACAAUGGGACUGCUUAGUCAUGUUUACACCAUUACAUUAUUACAUUCUAUUAAUGUCAUUAUUGUGGUAAAAUUUAUCAGAUUACAUAAUGAUAAGCACUUAAAGCAAAUGAAAUUGCAGAACAUUAUAACACACUUAGAGUACAAUUUAUAAGCUACUAGCAGCAUAAAAGCUUUGAAUUACAUCUGCUCUAAAGAUGUAUAGAUUAAAAGAACAGGCUAUAAACCUGCUUUGAUCUUCCCCUCUUAAUCCAUGUCGGCCAAUAUAAAUGUGUGCUGGUAUCCAUGGAGAGCUCGUCAUUGUCAUUGGUCACUGGUCAUUAUUUUGUCAAGAGCCCUAGUUACCCUUAGUAGCCAUCUGGGUGACAGAGGAGUCUGAAUAACAAACUAAAGAGAAGACAUUGUGUGCAUCUCUGAGUAACUACAGCCCUGAGGGCUCACACAUGCUCUUCAUUUAGUUAAAACUAAGAUUACUUUGGAUUAUUCACUGUUUUUUCUCCGUAUUGCAUUACAUUUAGGAUCAAACUUUUUUCACUUUCUAGCACUGGAAGAUGAAUCCCAUUUCUUAGUUUGAAAUCUGUCACUUUUCAGGACUGGCAUUAAGCCGGACAGACUUUACAGCAUGCGUCGUGGAGACUGGUUGCCAUGGCCCGGUGAGGCUCAGAGACGAGACGAAAGGAGGGCUGAAGCCAAAUUGGCUGAGGGUCUGCAGAGACUCGACCAGGCUAAACAUUACCACCUCAACACGCUGAACAGAGAACAGCGCGGACUUCACAGAGACCUCAUCUCCAUCAAAACAGGUAAUCCCUGGAAAAGAGGACUCCAUAGUUUGGGGCUGCGACCCUCAAACUAUGAUGUUGGUCACCCUGCUGCAUCUUACAAGAAGACCCUAUUACCCAUCAUCCCAAUGGCAGGCAAGGAGACAGACAGUCACAGUGUCUCCAGGUCCUCUACUCUGCAGGCUCGUGUUCAGGAGUUUAUCAGCAAUGGAGAGAAAAGGGCAGAACACUCCUCUGAGACGCUCUGUCUGCCGGACCUAAAACGGCAGCCCGUCAUCUCUCUAACCAGUACAAGAGCAAAUACAGAAAGAGAGGAGAGCAAGGAGAGAGAGAUGGAUGGAGAACAGGACAGAGAAAGAGGGGCACACACGGAGGUAGGGGAGGUAGUGAAGGACAGAGAAAAAGACAGCCAGAAAGAGAGGGAAUGGAUGCUAUUAAGGGAACGAGAGAAAGAUAAUGAAAGAGAAGCUGAGAUAAAUGGGAAUAGGUGUUCAUCUUCUUCUGUUUCAUUCCCCUCUGAGAUGCUGGCUCCAGAUGGACAUUUAAGAACAGUACACACAUUACCAAACUUUGCCCAUGCACUGGCCGAAGCCCGAAAAGCAAGAUACAUCAGACACAGAGGACAACCGCUGUGUGAGCGAGAACUCACCAUACGAGAGAUAUUUGCUCGGAAUUCAAGAGCUCCUGCUCACUGAGGCGCUAAAACAGUGGUUCUUGACUGGUUUUGCUUCAGGUCCAGAUUUUCCAGCGCAGCAAGUUGCCAUCAAACACAGUGCCCAAAGUUAUACGUACUGUGCUAUGUAAAAAUGUAUUGAAAAAUUGAAACAAGUUGUAUUUUUGGAGCAUUCACACCAUGUUGUAAUUACCAUAAUUACUAGAUAACAAGCUGUCCUGGAUGUUCUUCUCAGAGUUGUUCACAUCCUCAGACUUAAAGCCCAAAGAUUACUUCAGUUUUGACGCAAAUGCUUGCCAUAUUCAUACAGCCGAAUCCAAAGCCUUUCAAUAUAUACUUUGUUGUGCAGAAAUACAAGAGCGAUACAUGCGCAAACUGAGCAAACAGAAUAGGCUACACACAAUCUGUCAGCUGUCUAAUUUCCUAAAAGUAACCAUUAUAAAAUUGUCUAAUUUAAUUUCCUAACUUCUUUCUUACUUUGCAAUAUAAUGGUUAUUUCCUAAACGGGGCAGCCUUAUGUGGCCAACAGUGCGAGGCUGCAGCCUUGGAAAUGAGACGCAGCUACGUUUAGAAAAAAUCUGACAGCAUGCUAUGCGAGCAUACUAUGCUAUAACCUGGUGUAUACAUUAAAACUGAAGUAUACUUUGGGUUUAAUAUUAUGCUUUUUAUGCGAGUGCUUCUGUGCCAGCAAAAAUAACGGCAAAUUAAAACAAGUACCAGUCAUUAUAAAAAUGCAUUAUUAAUAAACUUUUGUUUGCUUAUCUUAGCA